rnacentral:rRNA from 1 species
GAUGAUGGCUCUGAUUGAACGCUGUCCAAAGGCUUGACACAUGCUAAUCAUACAUAAUUUUAUAUAAAAACCGAUAAUUUUUAUUAUAUCCUAAUAGAAAUAUAUUAUUUUUAGAAUUAUAAAAUUAUCGUGGUGUAAAGGUGAGUAUACAAUGCUUUUUUGCCUUAAAGAAAGGAAAAAUAAAUUCCUUAUAAAAUAUAAAGAAAGAUAAACUUUCCCUUUAAGAUACUUUAGUAUAAACAAAGUAAGUAGUAGUUAAGGUAAUAGCUUAACUAGCUGUGACUUGUAGUCAUAACUGAGAGGUUUAUUGACCACAUUGGGUCUGAAAAAACCCCAAUACGUAUAGUACAGCAGUGAGGAAUCUUGGUCAAUAGCCUAACGGCUGAACCAGCAAUUUGGGGGAAUGAAGCUAUAUAUUAACAGACACAUAUAUACGCAUCGACUAUGUCGUAUA